rnacentral:rRNA from 1 species
AGAGAGUGCGAGCGUUAAUCGGAAUUACUGGGCGUAAAGCGCACGUAGGUGGGCAUUUAAGUCGGAUGUGAAAGCCCCGGGCUUAACCUGGGAACUGCAUUCGAUACUGGAUGCCUAGAGUAUGGUAGAGGGAAGUGGAAUUUCCGGUGUAGCGGUGAAAUGCGUAGAUAUCGGAAGGAACACCAGUGGCGAAGGCGACUUCCUGGACCAAUACUGACACUGAGGUGCGAAAGCGUGGGGAGCAAACAGGAUUAGAGACCCUGGUAGUCCACGCCGUCAACGAUGAGAACUAGACGUUGGGAAGUCUAACUUCUUAGUGUCGUAGCUAACGCGUUAAGUUCUCCGCCUGGGGAUACGGCCGCAAGGUU